UCUGCCCUCAGGGGGGGGAUAACGGCUGGAAACGGCCGCUAAUACCCCAUAUGCCGAGAGGUGAAAUGAAUUUCGCCUGAGGAUGAGCCCGCGUCUGAUUAGCUAGUUGGUGUGGUAAUGGCGCACCAAGGCUUCGAUCAGUAGCUGGUCUGAGAGGAUGAUCAGCCACACUGGGACUGAGACACGGCCCAGACUCCUACGGGAGGCAGCAGUGGGGAAUUUUCCGCAAUGGGCGCAAGCCUGACGGAGCAACGCCGCGUGAGGGAUGAAGGCCUCUGGGCUGUAAACCUCUUUUCUCAAGGAAGAAGAUAUGACGGUACUUGAGGAAUAAGCCACGGCUAAUUCCGUGCCAGCAGCCGCGGUAAUACGGGAGUGGCAAGCGUUAUCCGGAAUUAUUGGGCGUAAAGCGUCCGCAGGCGGCCUUUCAAGUCUGCUGUUAAAGCGUGGAGCUUAACUCCAUCAUGGCAGUGGAAACUGUUGGGCUUGAGUGUGGUAGGGGCAGAGGGAAUUCCCGGUGUAGCGGUGAAUGCGUAGAUAUCGGGAAGAACACCAGUGGCGAAGGCGCUCUGCUGGGCCAUAACUGACGCUCAUGGACGAAAG
rnacentral:rRNA from 1 species